rnacentral:lncRNA from 1 species
UUCCUUGUGCCCCAUAAAGUAAUAGGGGGAGAAAGUGAAAGAGGGAAGAAAGGGAAGAUGGGAGGGAGGAAGGUCCAGGACAGUGGGGAUGUUCUUUGAUAAUUUAUCAGUACCUUUUGCAUUUGCAAAAAAAAAGUGAGCCUAAGUAACACAGUCCAUUUUCCCAGGAAAGCUUUUAAGGUUGUGGUCAAUGUCAACACUCUUCAAGAUACAGAUGAUACAAAUUUUUAAAAUACUACAAAGAUUAUAACUGUAUAUUGCCAUUAAAAGAUUGUGAUUUAUUUUCAACAUCUAGCACAUAACUCAAUAUAGUAUAUGCUCUUGAUAACUGCUUGGUGAAUACUUCACAAUUAUCAAAAAAUAUUGAAUCUACAAGAAAGACUUUUCAAUUUAUUGUACUGAAAGCUAUCUCUGAAGUUUGAAAUUUGAGGGAUGAAGGAAAUAGAAAUUUCAUUCUACAUCAUAGUAAAUGGAAUUCCAUUAAAGCUGAGUUUAUUUUAUGGGCAAACUCGAAUGCCCUAUGUAUGUUACCUUCACAUGACCUUUCUAUUCAGUAAUGUUUAGGCUUCAUAAGUGAAGAAAAGUGCCAACUUUAUAUAAAAAACUAAAUAUAACUAUAUGUCAUUACUCUUACCUCUUUUGUGCUUGCAUUUGACUGCCACCUCUUUGUCAUUCUUACCUUCAAUCCCAGUUUGUUCCACUACCACCUAGCUAUUUAGAAGACAAAAUUCCUAAAUGCUACCAGCAAAAAUAAAGGAAAAGUAGAAUGACAAUCACAGCCCUUUUGUUUCAGCUUUACAUAUCUUCUCAUAAGUCUUUGCAAAUAAACUCUGAAAGACAGAAGCAGAAAGAAGUUAGUGAAUCUUCCUAGAAUAGCAUUAAGUAAUUAAUUGCUUUUCCAACUUUCUUGCUGAAUUACUCAGGAGAACAGAUCUUUCUGAAAUUUAAGGUUUUCUCCUAAUAUGUAGGAACAUUCUAAGGAUUUAAACUGUUUGUUUGAGGGACUUCUGGUAUCCACGAAGGUAUUUUCCCUUUCCACCUGGGAAGGUUUUAGCUUGAGAUUUUAGCUUUACUGGUCUGUUCUAUUGUUUGUCUAGCACAGAUGUAGUGUACUGCAAGCAAUACAGUUCUCUCUGGGCAAUGAACAAGAUUUUUUUUAUUUCAUACAUUAUUUACAACUCUGCAGUGGUUUUAGAAAGUGAAUGUAUAUCCUGGACACAAAGAAAUGAAAAGCACAAAAGCAUAGAUAUGAUUGUCAUAUAGUUGUUUAGAAAGUUAAUACUAUUAUACAUGGAUUUCUCCUUUAUUGCACUUUAUUGUACUAUUAUACAUGGAUUUCUCCUUUAUUUAAAAUACCUAUUAGAGGUUUACCAGCCUAAUAAUGGCUAUUAAUCAGAAAUGUGCAUACUUAUUUUGUUUCAUAAUAAACUAAUAGAGUACAUUUAAAUAUGUGGAGCUUACCUAUAAGUAAGCAGUAUGAUUUUGUAUGGAUAAUCCAAUGUUUAUUUUAGUCAUGUUUGUGACAUCAUCUCAUUUGUGUAUAUCAGGUCUAUUUUCAGUGACAGAGAUAAUGAAAAAUAAUGGUGCUUUAUAUAUAAUUUUUUUCCUAUUUUACUUUAUUGUACCAAACAUAAACAUUAUUGAAUCCUAAAUAAAAAGGACUAAAAAACAUUUCUA